rnacentral:lncRNA from 1 species
GUAACGGGCAUGGUGUGCUUGUCUGAUGGACAGGGCAGCUUAGGGGAAUAAGUCUCUGCAGCGUUGUAGUGAAGAGAGAAUACGGGACAACUGCAGGACCACAGCUCAGCCAAGACACAACCACAUGACUGAAGACAGAGAUCAUCUGGGUCAGUGUUUCAGAAAAUGUUGCCAAGAAACUUCAAAUGCAGAUUCCUGGACCUCCGUGCAAACUACUAUAUUAGAAACAUUCGUGACCGGGCGCAGCGGCUCACACCUAUAAUCCCAGCGCUUUGGGAGGCCGAGGCGGGUGGAUCACGAGGUCAAGAAAUUGAGACCAUCCUGGCCAACAUGGUGAAACCCCGUCUCUACUAAAAAUACAAAAGUUAGCUGGGCAUGGUGGUGUGUGCUUGUAGUCCCAGCUACUCGGGAGGCUGAGGCAAGAGAAUUGCUUGAACCCGGGAAGCAGAGGUUGCAGUGAGCCAAGAUCACGCCACUGCACUCCAGCCUGGUGAUGAAGCGAGACUCCAUCUCAAAAAGAAAAAAAACAAAACAAAAACAUUCGUGUGCAUGUGUCUUUAUGGUAGAAUGAUUUUAACCCUUCGAGAAAUCACCAUACUGCUUUCCACAAUGGUUAAACUAACUUACAUUCCCACCAACAAUGUACAAGUGUUUCCUUUCCUCUGUAACCUUGUCAGCAACAGUUACUUUUUGACUUUUUAUCAACAGCCAUUCUGACUUGUGUGAGGUGGUUUUGAUUUGCAUUUCUCUAAUGUCAGUGAUAUUGAGCCUUUUUUCAAUGCUUGUUGACCACAUGUAUGUCUUUUAUUAAAAAAAAAAGUGACUGUUCAUGUCCUUUGCCCACUUUUUAAUGGGGUUGUUUUUCUUUGGUAAAUUUGUCUUAGUUCCUUAUAGAUGCUGGAUAUUAGACCUUUGUCAGGUGCACAGUUUGCAAGUAUUUUCUUCCCAUUCUGUAGGUUGUCUGUUUGUUAACAGUUUCUCUUCCUGUGCAGAAGCUCUUAAAUUUAAUUAGAUCCCAUUUUUAAAUUUUUGCUUUUGUUGGGAUUGCUUUUGGUGCCUUUGUCAUGAAAUCUUUGCCCAUGCUUGUGUCCUGAUUGGUAUUGCCUAGAUAAGAAAAUCUAGAAGAAACUAUAAGAAAACCCUAGAAGACACUAGGGUUUUUAGAGUUUUGGGUUUUACAUUUAAGUCUUUAAUCCAUCUUGAGUGAAUUUUUGCAUACGGUUUAAGGAAGGGGUCCAGUUUCAAUUUUCUGCAUAUGGCUAGCCAGUUAUCCCAGCACCAUUUAUUGAAUGUGGAGUCUUUUCUCCAUC